GACGAACGCUGGCGGCGUGCUUAACACAUGCAAGUCGAGCGGUAAGGCCCUUUCGGGGGUACACGAGCGGCGAACGGGUGAGUAACACGUGGGUGACCUGCCCUCAGCUCUGGGAUAAGCCUGGGAAACCGGGUCUAAUACUGGAUAUGACUCCAUGACGCAUGUUGUGGGGUGGAAAGCCUUGUGCGGCUGAGGAUGGGCCCGCGGCCUAUCAGCUUGUUGGUGGGGUGANGGCCUACCAAGGCGACGACGGGUAGCCGGCCUGAGAGGGCGACCGGCCACACUGGGACUGAGACACGGCCCAGACUCCGUACGGGAGGCAGCAGGUGGGGAAUCUUGCGCAAGUGGGACGAAAGCCUGACGCAGCGACGCCGCGUGAGGGAUGACGGCCU
rnacentral:rRNA from 1 species